GUUUUUCAGAACUUACGCUUGUUUCCAUGCAUGUGUUAUUGAUUAGGAACAAUGGAGAGGAUCAGUAAGGACUUGGAGAAGGCCAAGGACUCAAGGAGGAGGAGCUAGGACGUCCACACCAAGGACAAGUGCAUGUCCAACUCGACUUCGAUUCCAACUCGGAUUCCAGAACCUUACUUCACCAAAACUGAUGCUCUGGCCAUAUAUGGAGUCGGAUUUGGACGUUCUAUAUAUGGUUGGAACCAGAAUUUCAUAGACCUUCCAAUGGCACCGGUCCCACCUCAAAAUUCCUUCUGAGUCGACGGGAAUCGUCGACACAAGUGGGCAUCCAGAAUCUGACAGGGUGCUCUGCCACCGUCUUUUGGGCCGUUGGCCCGUGUACCAUGUUGAAGCCCGUUAGGGUUGUGUCCAGGGGACUUGCAUGCCCCUAACUCCCUUUUAUUCAGUAGCCGUCGCCACUUUAGGGUUUGGGUUUUGCUUAGAUUCAUUCUGUCAUCAAACAGUGUCACCGUUCAUCGGUUUGUGAGACCCUAUCUCGUAAUCAAGUCUGUUUGAUUGCAUCUCCUGUUCUUGCUUGUGUUCUUGAUUGCGCUUGCAGGGAUAAGCCUUUGUGGCGAGGUCAUUCGUGUGACACGGGUGAUAACCAACGGAGCAGUGGUGUAGUGAUUGCGGGGUUCUGUUCGUUCGGAGCCUUGGAUCAUCAACGUUGAGUUCUCCCCCAAUCAAGUUUACCGUACCUCUCGGAAGAUCGGGACUCAACCUCCUAUCAAGUGGUAUAAGUUAUCAGGUUGCCCGUAAGGUAUACUCAUGUGCCUUUAGAUUUAUUUUGUUUUCAUCCUAUAGUCCACAAAAAGCUAAAUAAAUUGUUACUCGUUCCAACCUACAACCCUCGCUCGGCCUUUUGCACAACUUAGUUUCGGAGUCCGUAGUUCUGAGUUCGUGUCCUAGCUUGAGUUUGGUUGCUGGUUUAGAUUUGUUUUAGUUCAGUUUUGUUUAUUCCAUCCGCUGCUAUCCACACAAACAAAAAAAAUCAAUCUACAGAAACUUUUCCAUCCACCACCGAUCCAUCUAUUCGUAUCCAAAUCAGUUUCCACCGCCACAAACCCUAAUUUGGAGAGUCCUCCUUAAAUCGGACAUAACUUUUCGCUCGGAACUCCGAUUGAGGUGAAUUUUUUUUCCGGAAAGCUCUUGAAAAGUUGCACAUAUGAUUCCCCCGCUACGCCGGGUUCAGCGUUCUCAAAAAAAUUAAAAAAAUCAGGAAGGCACUUGAUUCGGGCUACGAAGUUCCAGCACCAGUUUUCCCAAACGCUCCUGAAAUUGUACCGAUCAUAUCUUUCAUCGGUUUGAGCUGAUAUUUGGUGUUGUUCACUCUCUUGUGCCCCUAGUUGAGCAAAAAUAUCAAAAAAAAUAAAAGCAAAAAAAUAAAAAUUUGAUUCCUACUAGUGCUAAAAGACAAAACAGGAGGAAUUUGCUGUUUUCUAUGUGCAUUGUUGGAUACAUGCUGGUACUGCCUUUGUGGCUCAUCAUCUUUGAUCCUUAUUCCUUGCUUGCUGCCACAACUGUUCUAAUACAUUUUUAGGCCAGCAACUAGGUCAAGUUCUUUGGACACUUAUUCAGCAUUGCUAUCUGUUACUAACUUGUGUGCCACAUACAUAUACUGCACUUGAGCCUUCCCAAGCUCCACCUUCUCCCGAGCAGAACAGGUACCCUGUGCAAUCACACCCACUCUCUUCGUGUUGUCAUACCGGUCACCGUUUGCCACCUACAGUGCUGGUAGGACACUCGUAAGAGCGGGGUAAGACGCAUCUUACUACUUGUUUUUCCACUUCCACUUCAAUGAGUAUAGUCGUAGGGUUCACAACCUUUUGCCUUCGUUUCUGUUUUGUUCUAACUAUGACAGGAAAGGUGCCGAUGGACGAGACCUCUCCUUCUACACUUCCGGAUGAUACUGAGUGCUUGUCACAUAUGGAACUAAAAGACAUGAUGCGGGCGAUGACUGACGCUUUCAACAAAUACCAGACAACUACAACAACCACCUUUUAGAGGAUUCAUACAAGUGUUGAUGGUCUUGCCGCACGACUGGAUGCCGUGGAGGCUCGUUUUCCACACCAUGAUCCACCCCCCCAUCGUCCCUGCUGCCGGCGGCCUUGCCCACAACGACACAGAGGACGAGUUCAACGAUGAUGAGGUUGAUGCACAGCAGCGCCGUCGCCUUCUGCGUAAUCGUCAAGGUAUGGGAGGUAAUGGUAGACGUCGUCCUCAUGCUCCUGAGCAAGAUAAUGAUCCUUAUGCUAAGAUUAAGUUUUCUAUUCCACCAUUUUAUGGAUCUUAUGAUGCUGAGACUUACUUGGAUUGGGAGAUGACGGUAGAAUAGAAAUUUAGUUCCCAUCUAGUUCCAGAGUGUCAUAGAGUUAGACAAGCCACUAGUGAGUUUAAAGAUUUUGCUAUCAUUUGGUGGAAUGAACUUGUCACUGCACGUAAUGCCCCACAGACAUGGACUGCGUUAAAAGAAGAGAUGCAUGCUAAUUCGUAAGAAAUUAUAACGCUUUGAUCAGGGUAACAUGUCUGUCCAAGAGUACUACCAAGAGUUGCAGAAGUGUAUGCUUCGUUGUGGGGUAGUUGAGGAUCAGGAAGACCAGAUUGUUAGGUUUUAUGGGAGUUUGCAGCGUGAGAUCCAGGACAUAGUUGAUUAUAAGGAAUAUCAUUCUAUACAACAUUUGUUUCAACUUGCUAUGUUGGCAGAAAAACAACUGCAGGGUCAUCAACAGCAACGGCGGAACAACACCUUCACGCCACGGCAGUUUCCGGCGCCAGCCAAAGCGGCACCCUCUGCGGCCACACCUCCCUCCACCGGUGUUUUACGCGGCACUACACCUUCAACUUCCAAGGGACACGAUAGCAGCAAGUCCCAGACGCCUCCUGGUGUUGCGGCAAAGGCUCACACUUCCACUGGUCGCACAUCCGACAUCAAGUGCCACCGCUGCUAGGGAUUUGGCCAUCUGCAGCGCGAUUGCCCUAGCAAACGGACCAUCAUUGCUACUGUCGAUGGUGGGUAUGCUAGUGCUUCUGAUAUUGAAGAUGAACACAUUAUUGCAGCUAACAUUUCAGGGUCCGAUGACGGCGUUGAGGAGGUUCUUGGUACAUCUGCGACCAACAAUUACAGGACCUUAAUUGUGCACCGAGCUUUGAGCGCCACGGUGGGAGAGGACGACCAACGCCAACGUCACAACCUUUUCAACAUGUUUCUUGUCGUCAAGGACUGCUGUGUGCAUACAAUCAUUGACGGAGGUAGCUGCAACAAUUUGGUGAAUGUUGAGGUGGUCAAGAAGCUUGGCUUUACCACGCGGGAGCAUCCACAUCCUUAUCACAUUCAAUGGUUCAACAACAACGGUAAGGUAAAGGUAAUAAAAACAGUAAGGAUACAUUUUUCAAUUGGGUCUUACCAUGACUUUACUGAUUUUGAUGUGGUGCCUAUGGAUGCUUGCUCUCUUUUGUUGGGACAUCCUUGGGAGUUUGAUGCUGAUGCUAUUCACUAUGGUAGAUCUAAUAAGUAUACUCUCAUGCAUAAGGGCAACAAAAUUGUGUUGCUGCCAAUGACUCCCACUGAAAUUGUGCAAUUUGAGACUGAGAAAAAGAAUAAUGCUAAACAAAAGGGUGUUUUCAAUUCGGAAAAUCAGCAGCCUAAGUUAAACAAUCCUGUUUUGUUGGCAACUAAAUCCGAUCUUGAUGAGUUAUCUGCCUCUACUGGACCUUGCUAUGCUUUAGUGUGCAAAUAUGCUUUAUAUUCCAUUGAGGUCACGUCCAUUGCUUUGGCACCUGCUAUUGCUAACCUUUUGCAGGAGUAUAUGCAUGUCUUUCCAUCGGAGCUACCCCCCGGAUUACCACCUGUGCGAGGCAUUGAGCACAAGAUUGAUUUGAUUCCAGGGGCGAGCUUGCCAAACCGUGCCGCCUACAGGACCAACCCCGAUGAGACUAAGGAAAUUCAGCGGCAAGUCCAGGCCCUUCUGGACCACGGGUACAUUCGUGAGAGCCUUAGUUCUUGUUCUGUUCCUGUUCUUUUGGUUCCUAAGAAAGAGCCUUAGUUCUUGUUCUGUUCCUGUUCUUUUGGUUCCUAAGAAAGAUGGCAUUUGGCGCAUGUGUGUUGAUUGUCGAGCCAUCAAUAACAUUACCAUUUGAUAUCGCUAUCCUAUUCCUCGUUUGGAUGAUAUGCUUGAUGAGCUGAGUGGUUUUGUUGUUUUCUCCAAGAUUGAUUUACGUAGUGGAUAUCAUCAGAUUCGUAUGGCUUUAGGGGAUGAAUGGAAAACUGCCUUUAAAACCAAGUUCGGUCUUUAUGAAUGGUUAGUCAUGCCUUUUGGUUUAACUAAUGCGCCCAGCACUUUUAUGAGAUUGUUGAACGAGGUUUUACGUGCUUUCAUUGGCAAAUUUGUGAUGGUUUAUUUUGAUGAUAUCCUUGUUUACAGCAAGUCAUAUGAGGCACAUCUUGAACAUUUGCAUGCUGUUUUUAAUAUCUUGCGCGAUGCACGUUUGUUUGGUAACCUUGAGAAGUGCACCUUUUGCACCGAUCAUGUGUCUUUUCUUGGUUAUGUUGUUACAUCACAGGGCAUUGAGGUGGACGAGGCAAAGAUUGUUGCCAUCACAAGCUGGCCACUUCCGACUACGGUCACGCAGGUUCGAAGUCUUCUUGGUCUUGCAGGUUUUUACCGGCGUUUCGUGCGGGAUUUCAGCACCAUUGCAGCACCUCUCCACGGGUUCACAAAGAAGGCGUGCCGUUUCAAUGGGGACCAGCUCAACAACAAGCUUUUGAGACUCUCAAAUUGAAGCUCACACAAGCACCAUUGCUGCAACUUCCUGAUUUUGAGAAGACCUUCGAGCUUGAGUGUGAUGCAAGCGGGAUUGGCAUUGGAGGAGUGCUCAUACAAGGAGGUAAACCUGUUGCUUUCUUUAGUGAAAAAUUGCAUGGUCCUUCGCUGAAUUAUUCUGCAUAUGACAAAGAACUCUAUGCUUUAGUGCGAGUUUUACAAACUUGGCAGCAUUAUCUGUGGUCUAAAGAAUUUUUCAUACAUUCGGAUCAUGAAUCUUUGAAGUACCUUAAAGGGCAAGCUAAUCUGAACAAACGUCAUGCUAAAUGGAUUGAGUUUAUAGAGUCAUUUCCUUACAUCAUUAAACAUAAGAAAGGAAAAGACAAUGUGAUUGCUGAUGCUUUAUCUAGACGUUAUACCAUGCUGUCCCAACUUUCUCAUAAAAUCUUUGGCUUAGAGACCAUAAAGGGAUUAUAUGCUACUGAUUUGGACUUCAAAGAUGCUUUUGCAAAUUGUAGAGAGGGAAGAACGUGGCAAAAAUUUCUGCUGCGUGAAGGCCUUCUCUACCGUGCUAACAAGCUGUGUGUUCCAGCUAUCUCCGUUCAUCUUUUGCUGUUGCAGGAGGCGCAUGGCGGUGGUUUGAUGGGAUAUUUUGGUGUUAAAAAGACGGAGGACGUGUUGGCCGCUCACUUCUUUUGGCCACGGAUGCGGCGUGAUGUGGAGCGCUACGUCUCGCGUUGCUCCACAUGCAACAAAGCUAAGUCUCGACUUAAUCCACAUGGUCUUUAUAUGCCUCUUCCUAUUCCUCGUGCACCUUGGGAGGAUAUUUCUAUGGACUUUGUUUUAGGAUUACCUAGAACAAAGAGAGGGAGGGAUAGUAUUUUUGUGGUUGUUGAUCAUUUCUCAAAAAUAGCACAUUUUAUACCCUGUCACAAGACAGACAAUGCUUCACAUGUUGCUGAUUUAUUCUUUAAUGAGGUUGUGCGUUUGCAUGGUGUACCAAAUACUAUUGUUUCUGAUAGGGAUGCUAAAUUUUUGAGCCAUUUUUGGAGAACUUUAUGGUAUAAAUUGGGAACAAAGUUGCUAUUUUCUACUACUUGUCAUCCACAAACUAAUGGGCAAACGGAGGUAGUUAAUCGUACCUUGUCUACUAUGUUGCGGGCUGUUUUGAAAGAUAAUUUGAGGUUGUGGAAGGAGUGUUUGCCACAUAUUGAGUUUGCCUAUAACAGAUCUAUUCACUCCACAAUAAAGUUAAGUCCGUUUAUGGUAGUAUAUGGUUUCAAUCCUCGUGCUCCAAUUGAUUUUCUACCGUUACCACCUUCUGAAAUUGUGAACUUAGAUGCUACACAACGCUCUGAAUUUAUUCUUAAGUUGCAUGAAACUACUAAUUUGCAAAUUGAAAAAAUGAAUGAAAAGUAUCGAAUUGCUGCCAUUAAAGGAAGGAAGGAGGUAAAAUUGGAACCCGGUAAUUUGGUGUGGGUUCAUUUGAGAAAAGAUAGGUUUCCGCAUUUGCGAAAGUCCAAGCUCAUGCCACGUGCCGCUGGACCUUUUAAGGUUCUUGAGAAGAUAAAUGACAAUGCAUAUAAACUUGAGUUGCCCCCCAAGUUUGGGAGAUAAACUUGAGAGAUGAUGAGGACAUCUCUCCUUUGCAUACAAUGCAAGGACCGAUCACUAGAGCACGUGCGCGACAGUUGGAUCUCCAGGUACGUUCUAACCUUGUCAAUUGUUUUUCAGAACUUACGCUUGGUUCCAUGCAUGUGUUAUUGAUUAGGAACAAUGGAGAGGAUCAGUAAGGACUUGGAGAAGGCCAAGGACUCAAGGAGGAGGAGCUAGGACGUCCACACCAAGGAGGAGUCCAUGUCCAACUCGACUUCGAUUCCAACUCGGAUUCCAGAACCUUACUUCACUAAAACUGACGCCCUGGCCACAUACGGAGUUGGAUUUGGAUGUUCUAUAUAUGGUUGGAACCAGAAUUUCAUAGAGCUUACAAUAGCACUAAUCCCACCUCAAAAUUCCUUCUAAGUCGACAGGAAUCGUCAACACAAGUGGGCGUCCAGAAUCUGACAGGGUGCUGUGCCACCGUCUUUUAGGCCGUUGGCCCGUGUACCAUGUUGAAACCCGUUAGGGUUGUGUCUAGGGGACUUGCACGCCCCUAACUCCCUUUUAUUCAGUAGCCAUCAUCACUUUAGGGUUUGGAUUAUGCUUAGAUUCAUUCUGUCAUCAAACAGUAUCACCGUUCAUCGGUUUGUGAGACCCCAUCUCGUAAUCAAGUCUGUUUGAUUGCA
rnacentral:lncRNA from 1 species